AACGGUUGUUGUGAGAGUCCGUCAGUUGGUUAACAGUCGAGGCCAGCCGGAGAAGGUACCAAAAAGUUCAAAAUAGCAGACUCAGUCUCUCUGAUGGACUGUCUCCACCUUCCACCACCUUGUGCCGAAUACUGAAAAUAUGAAUCUGAAGGCUUGCACCCUGAGCCUGAGCUGCUGUGGCUGGACAGUAAAGGAGUCAAUCUCAAAUGUGCUGUCAGGAGAAACCUUCACAUCCAAAGCUACAGAUGGAGAGACGGAGAAGUUCAUCAUAAGGUGGCUGUAGCUUGCACUAAGUUACUAAGUUCCCUUAAUGUUAUUACUAUACGUUUCUCCAUGUUCUCGGGAAGAUACAGUAAAAGGCUAAACUUGUCAGAGUUAGCAACUGUUUUCCUUAAUUCUCCGUACUGGCCAAUGAUUAUAACACUGAUUCAGAUCCAACCAUAAAUUCAUACAUUGUG